rnacentral:rRNA from 1 species
CAGGCCUAAUACAUGCAAGUCGAGGGGUAGAAGAGGCUUGCUUCUUUGAGACCGGCGCACGGGUGCGUAACGCGUAUGCAACCUACCUUAAUCAGGGGGAUAGCCCGAAGAAAUUCGGAUUAACACCGCAUAAAAUCACAACAUAGCAUUAUGUAAUGAUCAAAUAUUUAUAGGAUUAAGAUGGGCAUGCGUGUCAUUAGCUAGUUGGCGGGGUAACGGCCCACCAAGGCGACGAUGACUAGGGGAUCUGAGAGGAUGACCCCCCACACUGGUACUGAGACACGGACCAGACUCCUACGGGAGGCAGCAGUAAGGAAUAUUGGUCAAUGGAGGCAACUCUGAACCAGCCAUGCCGCGUGCAGGAAGACUGCCCUAUGGGUUGUAAACUGCUUUUAUCUGGGAAUAAACCUAUUUACGUGUAGAUAGCUGAAUGUACCAGAAGAAUAAGGAUCGGCUAACUCCGUGCCAGCAGCCGCGGUAAUACGGAGGAUCCAAGCGUUAUCCGGAUUUAUUGGGUUUAAAGGGUGCGUAGGCGGCCUGUUAAGUCAGAGGUGAAAGACGGUAGCUCAACUAUCGCAGUGCCUUUGAUACUGAUGGGCUUGAAUAAACUAGAGGUAGGCGGAAUGAGACAAGUAGCGGUGAAAUGCAUAGAUAUGUCUCAGAACACCGAUUGCGAAGGCAGCUUACUAUGGUUUUAUUGACGCUGAGGCACGAAAGCGUGGGGAUCAAACAGGAUUAGAUACCCUGGUAGUCCACGCCCUAAACGAUGAACACUCGCUGUU